GAGCUCGAUGCCUAUCCUGGCUCUCCAAGUUUUCGGAUCUACUGUAUCUCAUCGAUAUUGGAAGAUGAAAUUGAACAAUCUAAGGAUGAAGAAAUAGAUAAGGACACAACAUCGGGUGGUGACAGUAAUGCUAAGGAGACUUUGAUCAACAGUAUCAGCGAGGAGGGUGGAGGUUCCGGCAGCAAGGGCAAGAGGACGAACAAGAUGAAGAAGGUGGUGACAAUAAUAAGCAGGAAAAGGGGUCCGUCAGGGAGAGGGAGGCAGCAGAGGAAAGUGAUGGGGAAGAAAGUUGGGUCGGGAAAGAUGAGCGUGAAGCAGUUCUUGUCAUUGAACGUUAAAUCCUGCUACAUCCCGACUUGCUCCAGACGUAUUGAUGAUAACACUCGUCUCCUUCCCAAUAACCCCAGCGCAACACCCCCACAUCCUUCUUAACCUUCUUGUUCAUCUUCUCGGUUUUGUCAGCCACACAUUAUUGUUUCCACAGGGAGAGAAACGCGUUGCAGUUGCACAUCCUGUAGAACCGCUUGCUCAAAUUAACGUUUGCUGUUUAAUAUUAACCACGUAGAUCCAUGAUCCGCCCGCAUAUAUAGAGGUACCAGGUAGAUCCACCCACCACCAAAAAGAGAAAAAGGCCGCAGCAGCGGUCAAUCUUGUCCCAAGCCCAUGUGUCAUCCCUAGGGAAGGCAGAAUUCCCGUUGGCGAGAGGCCUUUUCACCAGCGUGUCUCUGUACAGUACUACAGUUGCUAUAUGCCAAGUAUUUAACAGGGAAAGAAAAUGCCACAACAUGGUUUUGUGAUGUUCAGCAGUGUAUGGAC